rnacentral:rRNA from 1 species
AUGCGGUGUCACACGGUAUCCAACUGGAUGGUCCUCCUCCCUUUCAAGGAUGCCUGCAUGAUAGAGCAGCGCCCAUUGCGUGAGCUGCUCUAUGUGCGCCUGACAUUAUCUGAUGGUGCAGCAUAUAGCAGCAUCUCAGCCCAGAAAUCAGCCAGCACCUUCCAACAUACCUCCUCUGGCAUCUAUCUGUUCCAGUUGCUUCCCCAGACUGACACUUCUCUCGAAGACUGUAUUUGGCGCUUCAGUUAUAUUUAUCUCUCUCAUGGCCUCAUACUUGUUUCUCCCACCUUGAAAAAUCAUACUCCCUCCGUAAGUAGUGAUCUAAACGCUCCUAUAUUUGUUGCGUGUCCUGCAGCCAAGUCGAACACAAGCUUUGAGUCAGACUCCUGCCCAGGCAGAAACUUUGCCCCGGAGAUCGGCAAAGUACGCACAAUACUUGGACAGUUUUGUGGCAACAUCGCGACUGCGCAUCUCAACGUCUUGGCAAGGAUGUUUCGCUGCUGCCAUCUCAACGUAACAUGUUGCAAUGUGCCAAGUCAAUAUAAUAGAGAUUGUCUCUGA